CGCAGGGUUGCCAACACCCGGAUUGAGCCGACAAGGAACGCACUUUGUCCCGUGUUGCCGCGAGAACCAACACUAGUCUGUAAAACCUCAAUGGUUUCAGUUUGACAGCAUGACACAGGCUACGCCAAUCGAUGCCAGUGUGUUUGAUCAGUGUCUUCCAUCUUUCUCUACACGUUUUGCCUAGCUGUUUUAGCUAACUAGCCUGCUAGCUAGAAUGGUCCGCCUAGCUUCUCGUGUGACUUUUUCUGCCACAGUGACAAUUUGUUUUUAAAACAAACAAACAAUGCGGUUAGUUUGGAGCUCGUUUUUCUCCCAAGGGAAGUGGAUAUUACGUCUAUCGGGGGUCCAUUGCAGAAAGAAGUCGAGCUUAUCCUCUCUAUCGAUGUACCCCGGGACUGGGAACAUCCAGGGUGUAUUCCCCAAAGUGUGGAAACCCUGACAUGACGGGAAGUCUGGGUUUUCCGUUCCAAAAAGGAGAGAAACAGGCUCCAUGAAGGUGGCCUGAGGGUCCGACGUCCUGUAGUGGGCCCUGUGCUCACUGCCCAGCACCGUAGAGCUCGACUGGCAUUUGCCAUAGACCACCAGAAUUGGCAACUACACCACUGGUGCCCUGUGCUCUUCCCUGAUGAGAGCAAGUUCAACCUGAGCACAUGCGACAGACGUGAAAGGGUCUGGAGAUGCCGUGGAGAACGUUAUGCUGCCUGCAACAUCAUUCAGCAUGACCACUUUGGUGGUGGGUCAGUGAUGGUCUGGGGAGGCAUAUACCUGGAAGGACGCACAGACCUCUACAGGUUAGAUAACGGCACCCUGACUGCUAUUAGGUAUUGGGAUAAAAUCCUCAGACCCAUUGUCAGAACCUACGCUGGUGCAGUGGGACCUGGGUUCCUCCUGGUCCACGACAAUGCCCGACCUCAUGUGGAUAGUGUAUGCAGGUAGUUCCUGGAGGAUGAAGGAAUUGAUACUACUGACUGGCCCCCACGUUCACCUGACCUAAACCCAAUAGAACACCUCUGGGACAUUAUGUUUAGGUCCAUCCGGCGCCGCCAGGUUGCUCCUCAGACAUUGAUGCCCUGGUCCAGAUCUGGGAGGAGAUCCCCCAGGACACCAUCCGUAGUCUCAUUAGGAGCAUGCCCCCACGUUGUCAGGCAUGCGUACAAGCACGUGGGGGCCACACAAACGACUGAGAAUCAUUUUGAGUUGCUACAAUGACAUUUUAGCCAAAUGGACCAGUGUGCUGCAUCAUUUUUUCACUUUCAUUUUUGGGGUGUCUUUGAUUUCCCCCCUCUAUAGGGUGAUCAUUUUCAUUUCUAUCAAAUGAUGUGGCAUCAUUUUCUUACUAAUACAUCACCCACUUAUUAUCAGGAAACAUAUUCAACAUCAUUUUUCCCCCAGUUUAGAUCUGAUGUGUUUUUGAAGUGUUCCUCUCAUUUUUUUGAGCAGUAUAUAUAUAUAUAUAUAUAUAUAUAUAUGAUUAUAUAUGAUUAAAUAAUAAUAAUAUUAAUGUAAAUAUAAAUAAAUCAAUAAUAGCAAAAUAAUAUUUUAUUAUAAGUAAAAGUAUCAUAAGUAUUAUGUUAUUAUGUUACUCUAAAAUAAUUAAAUACAUAUGUGCAAUAAUGUAUGUAUUUAGAUUUAUAUAUUCAUUUAGUAUAUAUAUUUUAUUUUAUAAUAAACAGGAAGGUAAUAAAGUGACCAAGUAUGCCAAGGCAUGGCCAGAAUGCCAGAUUUUGUCUUUGUCAAAUUGUGUCUUUAUUUUAUGCGUAUACAUUUUAUGUGUUAUUAUUAUUAUUAGUGUUAAAUGAUCAUUUCCCUAUACAGCAUAUAUGACGUAUUUAGUGUUUUUCAUUAAGGGCAGCAUUUAUCACAGCACUUACAAAGCAGCCAAUCAGAUGAUCCAUUGAUCAUUUUGGUCGUCCCUAUUCUGCUCACAGCCACUAGGGGGCCCAUCGCCGCAAUAACCGUGUAUUGCUAUGAUAUGCUGUGAUGUGUCAACCAGCAUUAUUAAGUUCUUCCUUUGGUUUGUCAGCUUUGAACGCCCCUGAGUUAGAGGUGAAUUUAACUUGGUCAGAAGUGACCUUUCACCCUUCAUUGACUGAGUUUGUCGUGCUUAAACACACACACACACACACACACACACACACACACGUAGAGCAUUGCUUGGCAGACUUAUCAGAACGUCAUCUAUAUAUGAUAUACAUAACUCCAAUGAGGACAAUGAAUGCUGUCCUCUCCCACACUACGGAAGACUUUAAUCUGACCACACGGCAGCUGGGUGGCCUCCACCGAAGAGUCCGUCAAGAAGAGAGGUUAAGCCUGCUGGAAUGUUAACUCCAGCAACCACCAGCAUGUUGAAGAUGAAGACCCAAAGUACUGCUACCAUUUAUGGAACACAACCUCAGUCAUUGGAGUUGAUUUUUAUCCCUUUUUUACAAUUAUUUGUUGAAAAAAAUCAAUUUUUCCCACUUUAAAAUGUUUUAUAUUGUAAUAUUUAUUUAUUAUUGAAUUGAUAAUUUAGUAUAUUAUUGCUACAGUAAGGGCAUUUUGUCCACUUUUAACAUUUUUAUUGUAUUAUUUAUAGCCUAUAUUAUUUCACUGUUAUUUUAUUUUGGCCAUUUUUGGUAUUUAUUGAUGUGUUUUAUCACCAUUUUUUGUAUGGCUUUAAAAACAUUUGUAUCACUAUUCUAUUGUUCAAAUAUUAUUAUUUUUAUGUAUUUAUUUAGCAUUUUAUUGUUUGUUUAGCAUGUUCUAUUAAUAUUUUAUUAAAUAAACGCUGUAAAAGAGUCUUAUGUUGUCAUUAGUAGUUGUAUUAUUUAUAUAUUCUAUUAUAUUGAUAUUUAUUGCAUUUCAUACAGUAUCAGUUUUUGGCUUUUAAGAUCUUUAUUAUUAUUGUAUUAUUUAUAUAUAAUGAUUCAAAUUUGACUGUAUUUUCCACUAUUGUACUAAUUUUGGUGUAUAUUUAUUGCAUUUCUUACUGUAUUUGAUACAUUAAUUUGGCUUUUAUUGUUAUUUGAUUGAAAUUGUACUGUAUCAUGAUUAGGGUUAUGUAAACAACCAAAUCAAGAUUCAAGAGAGUUUUAUUGUCAUGUGCAUAGUAAAACAGCAGUUAUACUAUGCAGUGAAAAUCUUAUUCUGUUCAUUCUCCCAAGAAAAGAAAGAAAACACAAGAAAGAAUAAGAACAUAAGAAACAUAAACAUAUAUACCAAUAAAUUAAGCAACAACAACAGAAGAGACAUUGUUCAAGCACAGUGUGUGUGCGUGUGUUGCGUGCGGCGUGUGCGAGUGCUUCGUUGAGAAGCCUGAUGGCCUGUAGGUAAAAGCUGUUUGCCAGCCUUGUGGUCCUGGACUUCAAACUCCUGUAGCGUCUGCCUGACGGUAGGAGUGUGAAUAAUGAGUGUUGUGGAUGUGUGCUGUCCUUGAUGAGGUUGUGUGUUCUGCGUAGGACUCUAGUUUUAUAAAUGUCUUGCAGUGAGGGGAGGGCUGCCCCAACAAUGUUCUGUGGGGUCUUGAUCACCCGCUGGAGUGCCUUCCUAUCACGUGUUGUACAGUUACCGUACCAAACAGUGAUGGAGGCGGUAAGGACACUUUCCAUAGUGCAUCUGUAGAAGUGAAGUGAAAUGACAAGCUUUACCUACAGAACUUUGACCAUCUCUUCCACACAAAGAAAUGUGAAGCAUUUUUAAAGCUUAUCAGUACGAUAAGAUAAACUUAACGGGGAAAGUGUGACAGCAUGCAUUGGUACUUAUUGGGGGUGUCACGAGACGAUGCCGAUACACGAGCGGGGGUCUACGAGACGGGAUUUGAACUUUAUUUUUAAGGAAAGUACAAUGAAAAUGCAUUUGUCACAGAACAAUUGGCAGCAUUUCUGGAUAUGCCGGCUUUUCAACUGCAUUUCUUUUGCGAUGCAGCAAAGUACACAUUUUGUUUUGUUGUGUUUGUAGUUACUCAGUGAGUAUUGUCUCAGUGAGUGUUGACUGUCGGGACCAAAGCUCUGCACCUCCAUGUGUACUUUGUCACACAUGGGAAAAGUGAGUCGGUGGUUAUGUUUUCGAUGGGGAAGUUGGUUGCGUAGCCUUUUUGGUACCACCACAUUUCACAACAAAUUCAUGUUGAUUCAUGAUGAGCUCACCUUACUCCUUUGGUCUGAAGCCGGAAUAUUCCCACACGGGGGCAGUGGAAUUAUGCUUUGUGAUCAUCUUUUUCCCUCCUAGCUUCUGCUACGUUACCUUGCAUUGCUCCUCUCGAGGCUGCACUCUCCUGCUGUGUGUAUGCGGGUGGCCCCGCCUCCCCUCAGAGAGACAGACUGUAUGACUGACAAGAAGGCUCACUUUGUUCAAGCCAUUGUUUUAUGAAGCAAAUGCGUCCAGGGGCUGAAAACAAGCUGAGUGAACCCUCUUCAUGCCUGUAUGGAGGCGAGACAAGAGGAAAACAAACGCGUGUGAACAUGGCGAUAUAUCGAGGCCAGCAAAAUGAUCAAAUUCAUUUUCAUUUAUGGUGUGAUUUAUUCAUUUAGUUAUUACUGCGAGGCAGUUUUUUUUCUAAACGAGAAAUUUUGUCACGUUUUAAUCUCGUGACA